rnacentral:rRNA from 1 species
ACUCCUACGGGAGGCAGCAGUGGGGAAUAUUUGGACAAUGGGCGAAAGCCUGAUCCAGCCAUGCCGCGUGUGUGAAGAAGGCCCUCGGGUUGUAAAGCACUUUCAGUGAGGAAGAACGCUUGUGGGCUAAUACCCUGCAAGGAAGACAUCACUCACAGAAGAAGCACCGGCUAACUCCGUGCCAGCAGCCGCGGUAAUACGGAGGGUGCGAGCGUUAAUCGGAAUUACUGGGCGUAAAGCGCGCGUAGGCGGCUUGAUAAGCCGGUUGUGAAAGCCCCGGGCUCAACCUGGGAACGGCAUCCGGAACUGUCAGGCUAGAGUGCAGGAGAGGAAGGUAGAAUUCCCGGUGUAGCGGUGAAAUGCGUAGAGAUCGGGAGGAAUACCAGUGGCGAAGGCGGCCUUCUGGACUGACACUGACGCUGAGGUGCGAAAGCGUGGGUAGCAAACAGGAUUAGAUACCCUGGUAGCGAGUAG